rnacentral:sRNA from 1 species
UCAUAGCCCUGAUCGAAGCGGCAUCCCCGAUUUUUCAUCGGGAUAAAGCGGAUGAGCAGGACUAACA